UGGUUGUGGUAACAAAUAAAUACAGAAGGGCAGGCUACCAAAUCAAUUUCUUAGUUAUUGUUGAAUACAUUUCCUUGCUGUCGUUUCACACUAAUUUUCACUUGGUUCAGGUCUAUCACAUUUAUUCCAACAUCAAGAAUAUAUAGAUAUGGAUGGAGAUCUAUGGUCAAGUUAUAACUGAGUAAUUGCUUCAUGUUGUGAGGCAAAGGCGUUUGAGUUGGCAAGAUAUUGCAAAGGUUCGCAAUGUUGUAUGGAGGACAACAUUGGGAAAUAGAAAGGGUUCAUGCACGACAUAAAAACUCCAUUGAUAAGGAUGUUAAAAACAAGCCAGUUCAAGAAAUAUAUACUUACAGAAUUUUUUGGGGUCAGGAUAGUAGAAUUAAAGAAAUAAUGAUCACAAUUGAGUUUGCACAGAUCAUGUACCAUGAGGAUUAAAGAAGGUCAAUUAUAAUGAGGUUUCCAAAUUUCUUCUGAUGAUUAAAGGUGCGGAAGCAUUGAGGGACGGGAACACCAAAAGUAAUGGAGCUAUGAUGGGUGUCAUUACAGAGGACUUAAAGCAAAUUUCGUGGACUGAGGUUGGAAAUCUUGGUAAAAAAGAAUGACCCAAAGAAGGCGACAACAAUGAAAGAGGAAGAAGAAGGGAGGAAAAGGGUGAAAAAAAGGAAACCAAUUGGAAGGGGGAAAACAAAGAAGAUAUAUCCCAUAAAAAUGAGCCAAACUUACAAGAUUAGCUGACUAUAAUAUAGCCAAUCAUUUUAAAUCCAUGGUUGCCAUGCUGAAACCGCAAACCUCUUCUAUGUGGGAGUAAAACUUAGUUCUUCCGAACUGGACUAUAUCUAAAUCAAUGUCCAUGAUUGCUUCAAUAAAUUACUUCAAGUUUUUCUAUCCAUAUUUUUCUCCAAAGUUAUCAUUACAAAUGAAGAUUCAGAGAUGUAUUAUAUUCUAAUCAUCAUAGGCU
rnacentral:lncRNA from 1 species